rnacentral:rRNA from 1 species
UACAGAGGGUGCAAGCGUUAAUCGGAAUUACUGGGCGUAAAGCGUGCGUAGUCGGUUAUCUAAGUCAGGUGUGAAAUCCCCGGGCUCAACCUGGGAAUGGCAUUUGAUACUGGAUAGCUAGAGUUCGGCAGAGGGAAGUGGAAUUUCUGGUGUAGCGGUGAAAUGCGUAGAUAUCAGAAGGAACAUCAGUGGCGAAAGCGACUUCCUGGACCAGAACUGACGAUCAGGCACGAAAGCGUGGGGAGCAAACAGG